UGAGCUCGAUGAGUAGGGCGGGACACGUGGUAUCCUGUCUGAAUAUGGGGGGACCAUCCUCCAAGGCUAAAUACUCCUGACUGACCGAUAGUGAACCAGUACCGUGAGGGAAAGGCGAAAAGAACCCCGGCGAGGGGAGUGAAAAAGAACCUGAAACCGUGUACGUACAAGCAGUGGGAGCACGCUUAGGCGUGUGACUGCGUACCUUUUGUAUAAUGGGUCAGCGACUUAUAUUCUGUAGCAAGGUUAACCGAAUAGGGGAGCCGAAGGGAAACCGAGUCUUAACUGGGCGUUAAGUUGCAGGGUAUAGACCCGAAACCCGGUGAUCUAGCCAUGGGCAGGUUGAAGGUUGGGUAACACUAACUGGAGGACCGAACCGACUAAUGUUGAAAAAUUAGCGGAUGACUUGUGGCUGGGGGUGAAAGGCCAAUCAAACCGGGAGAUAGCUGGUUCUCCCCGAAAGCUAUUUAGGUAGCGCCUCGUGAAUUCAUCUCCGGGGGUAGAGCACUGUUUCGGCAAGGGGGUCAUCCCGACUUACCAACCCGAUGCAAACUGCGAAUACCGGAGAAUGUUAUCACGGGAGACACACGGCGGGUGCUAACGUCCGUCGUGAAGAGGGAAACAACCCAGACCGCCAGCUAAGGUCCCAAAGUCAUGGUUAAGUGGGAAACGAUGUGGGAAGGCCCAGACAGCCAGGAUGUUGGCUUAGAAGCAGCCAUCAUUUAAAGAAAGCGUAAUAGCUCACUGGUCGAGUCGGCCUGCGCGGAAGAUGUAACGGGGCUAAACCAUGCACCGAAGCUGCGGCAGCGACGCUUAUGCGUUGUUGGGUAGGGGAGCGUUCUGUAAGCCUGCGAAGGUGUGCUGUGAGGCAUGCUGGAGGUAUCAGAAGUGCGAAUGCUGACAUAAGUAACGAUAAAGCGGGUGAAAAGCCCGCUCGCCGGAAGACCAAGGGUUCCUGUCCAACGUUAAUCGGGGCAGGGUGAGUCGACCCCUAAGGCGAGGCCGAAAGGCGUAGUCGAUGGGAAACAGGUUAAUAUUCCUGUACUUGGUGUUACUGCGAAGGGGGGACGGAGAAGGCUAUGUUGGCCGGGCGACGGUUGUCCCGGUUUAAGCGUGUAGGCUGGUUUUUCCAGGCAAAUCCGGAAAAUCAAGGCUGAGGCGUGAUGACGAGGCACUACGGUGCUGAAGCAACAAAUGCCCUGCUUCCAGGAAAAGCCUCUAAGCAUCAGGUAACAUCAAAUCGUACCCCAAACCGACACAGGUGGUCAGGUAGAGAAUACCAAGGCGCUUGAGAGAACUCGGGUGAAGGAACUAGGCAAAAUGGUGCCGUAACUUCGGGAGAAGGCACGCUGAUAUGUAGGUGAAGUCCCUCGCGGAUGGAGCUGAAAUCAGUCGAAGAUACCAGCUGGCUGCAACUGUUUAUUAAAAACACAGCACUGUGCAAACACGAAAGUGGACGUAUACGGUGUGACGCCUGCCCGGUGCCGGAAGGUUAAUUGAUGGGGUCAGCGCAAGCGAAGCUCUUGAUCGAAGCCCCGGUAAACGGCGGCCGUAACUAUAACGGUCCUAAGGUAGCGAAAUUCCUUGUCGGGUAAGUUCCGACCUGCACGAAUGGCGUAAUGAUGGCCAGGCUGUCUCCACCCGAGACUCAGUGAAAUUGAACUCGCUGUGAAGAUGCAGUGUACCCGCGGCAAGACGGAAAGACCCCGUGAACCUUUACUAUAGCUUGACACUGAACAUUGAGCCUUGAUGUGUAGGAUAGGUGGGAGGCUUUGAAGUGUGGACGCCAGUCUGCAUGGAGCCGACCUUGAAAUACCACCCUUUAAUGUUUGAUGUUCUAACGUUGACCCGUGAUCCGGGUUGCGGACAGUGUCUGGUGGGUAGUUUGACUGGGGCGGUCUCCUCCUAAAGAGUAACGGAGGAGCACGAAGGUUGGCUAAUCCUGGUCGGACAUCAGGAGGUUAGUGCAAUGGCAUAAGCCAGCUUGACUGCGAGCGUGACGGCGCGAGCAGGUGCGAAAGCAGGUCAUAGUGAUCCGGUGGUUCUGAAUGGAAGGGCCAUCGCUCAACGGAUAAAAGGUACUCCGGGGAUAACAGGCUGAUACCGCCCAAGAGUUCAUAUCGACGGCGGUGUUUGGCACCUCGAUGUCGGCUCAUCACAUCCUGGGGCUGAAGUAGGUCCCAAGGGUAUGGCUGUUCGCCAUUUAAAGUGGUACGCGAGCUGGGUUUAGAACGUCGUGAGACAGUUCGGUCCCUAUCUGCCGUGGGCGCUGGAGAACUGAGGGGGGCUGCUCCUAGUACGAGAGGACCGGAGUGGACGCAUCACUGGUGUUCGGGUUGUCAUGCCAAUGGCACUGCCCGGUAGCUAAAUGCGGAAGAGAUAAGUGCUGAAAGCAUCUAAGCACGAAACUUGCCCCGAGAUGAGUUCUCCCUGACCCUUUAAGGGUCCUGAAGGAACGUUGAAGACGACGACGUUGAUAGGCCGGGUGUGUAAGCGCAGCGAUGCGUUGAGCUAACCGGUACUAAUGAACCGUGAGGCUUAACCUU
rnacentral:rRNA from 1 species